rnacentral:lncRNA from 1 species
GUAUAUUUUUAUUUAAACCUGCCAGUUUUUUUUCCUUUAAAUUCAUUGCCCUCCUCACUUAGUGCAUAAUUUCUUUGUGACUCUCUCCCUCCUCUUCUUCAGUGCUUGUGUGAUUGCAAUUCCUUUAAUGUCAGUUUAAUAUUGCAUGGCAUCCAUUUUUAUUUCAUUAAGAAUAACCAUGGUUUUAAGCAGUCUCUGUGUUAUAAAUCACAGUCAGAUUGUCACAGAUGCUGAGAUUCCUCAUCUUUCAAUGCCCUGGUUUUGAAAAUCUUUUAAAUGCCUAAAUGGUUUGCUUAGAGUGUAAAUCUGUUCCCCAGAGGAGAUUCUUAAUAUUGAGCAUUCCCAUUAGUUGCUGUUUCAAGGCCAGCUUUAAUGAACAUAAAAAUGUUCCUUUCACAGAUGUUUUAAAAAGAAUCUCCACAGCAAUAUGAAAGCUUUUUUUGAACGUUUCAGAAAACAAGAAAGUAGCCAUGGACUGAAAUACUUUAACCAUAUUGUUUUUUUCUCCAGGAAAUGCAGCCAUUCCGUGUGCAACUUUGUAGUUGGGAGCCCAUUUACAGUAAUGGCUUCAGCUAGUCCUAAUGAUCAGCUGGAAACAGCUGAGGAAGCUUCAGAAGUGCACUGCUCAUGUGCUGCUGACACAGCAUAGGUGGAUUUGUGAGAAGGGAAGUGGAGAAGGGAGGACAAUCCCUGUGUGAGAACCACCUUCAGAACAAAAGCUGAAACUUCAAAGCAGGUGAAAAAACCUCUGUAACACUUCUAAAAUGUUAUAAUAAACGAAGGGAAAAUAACAUGCCCAUUUACAUUUCUUUGUUCUUAUUUAUGGUUUCACUUAAUGUCAGGAGAUUGCCAAAGUUUCAGCAUCAGCACCAGCUUCAACAAGAUUUAGAAAAAAAAAAAAAAGAUCACUUUGUGUUUUGCAAAUUACCUAUAUUCAUGUGCAAGUUACAUAAGAAGGUGUUGAUAGGAACAAUUGGGAGCUAUUUUUAAAUAAACUUGCUGGAUAGAGGUACAUUUCCAAACUUGGAGAACAGAUUCCCAAAAUCUAUUCUGUUGCUGCAUACAUCGGCACUGUUCAUUUGUGUCUUGUGCAGCCCUCAGUUAAUGUGGUGUAAAAUGAAAGUGUGUGUGGUGUUUUUCUUUCCCUUUGACAUCACAUUUGUUAAUGUAAUAGGGGUUUAUAAUUAUUUGCAAUAGCUUUUAUCAGAAGAACUCAGCAAAGUAUGUAG